AAAGUAUGAAGUUGAGUAUUACAAAACCCAUGUAGGUCAUGAUGAAGAAAUUAGAGCACAGCAUUUAUCACAAAUCGAAAAGGCCGUUUUUAUUGAUAAGUUGAAAAUGGGUAUUAUUGCUCAAAGAAUAAUUGACUAUGCAAGACAGCUUGAGUCUGCCAAUAAACUAUACCAGGUUGAAUUUGCUAAACCCGAAAGAUCUUCACUACUUAGCAGCAAGAAAUGGAUUUAAUAAAAGAAGGCAUAAUGAAAUAAUGGCGGUAACCUUGAAUAUUCAAGAAUGGAAUAGCACUGACAAAAAUUAGGCAUUUCUCUGGAAACAGCAAGGCACUAAAAGAAGCAGUUCAACAACCAUUGAUGUGUGAUUAUUUUAUGACGGAUGAUGACCCCAAAUACUAUAACGCUUGGAGUAAUGUGAUGGAGCACCAGCCACAAAAAUUUCUUUGUUCGUGGCAUAUAAUAAGAAGGUGGUGCCUACAAGGAAGAACAAAACUGAAGAAUCCCGAGAUCCAGAAAACUAUGAAAAUACAGAUGAAGAAAAUAUUAAAUGAAGUGGACCGACAGAAAUUUAAAAAACUAACAGAAGAUUACUUUACCAAAUUGAAAAAUGAUGAUGAAGAUAUAUUUUUGAACUAUUUACAAAAGUAAUUAAAUUCUAUACACAAAUGACGUUUUGGGUGAUUU